rnacentral:rRNA from 1 species
AUGCCCCCGGCGCCCGACGAGUUCGUGGUGGAGCUUAAGCACUGGACGACUCCCUUGUGCGCCGCCGAUGGUGACGAGGUCGAGGUUGGGGAGCUUGCCCCAAUGUCUCCGCCGGCGGGAUUUGUCUCGCGCGAUGCGCAACUUCAACCUGGUUUCGUCGUGGGUGAGGCCCCGACCCUGCAGUCGCCUCCAGCCGCCUCUAGUCGCCGCGAGGACGCUAUCAAGGACAUGUCCCUACAGCCGCCUCCAGCCACCGCUCAAGGCCUCGAAGUUGGUGCGGAUCCCCGGUCUCUAGAUCUGGUAACUCGUGGCGCUGGCAAUGUCUGCAUCCAGGAGAUGGCGCCGCAGUCGCCCGCAGCUGGUGAGGAGGGCUCCUGUCGUGGUGUUGCUCACGUGUCGUCGAGCGAUUCCGCGCCGCUUCCUUGCGAUCCCGCAGAGACGGUGGACAUGCUGCCAGGGGAUGGUCCCUGGAUCUCCGUGGGGAGAAAGCGUCACUGUGACCGUGAGCUCUGCAGCCAAGCUUCUGAUGUCUUGGCCAGGAGUGGUGCGAGACUUGUGCAAGCUGCUGACUUCAGGCGUCGAACUCACGGCCGUUGUUUCCGUUGCUUGGCUCCAGACCACAAGGCUGCCUCUUGUCGUGACCCAAUUCGAUGCCUCGCCUGCCUGCGCUCUGGGCACCGUGAGAGGGACUGUCAUCGUCGUCGCAUUUCCUCCGUCAGAGCUCGCCGCAAUGCGCGUGCCUCCCCAGCUCCGCCUUCUCCUUCCUCAUCCGGACGCUCUUGGGCUUCCGUUGUUGCCCCCGCAACGAACGCCCAACCUCCAGAGUGUGCGAUGUCUUCUGAAGAUCCUAGUGAAGCUUGUGAUGGUUAUGAUGUUGUGGCAAGGUCCGCUGACGCUUUGCUUGCACCUUUUGCCGUUGAGCUGCAAUCCAUGGUGGCGAAGGCGCUUCGCCCUUUGAGCUUGUUGGUGGCCCGUGCAACCAGCUUAUUGGAGCAGGCGGAGGUCUCCAGUGAUGACAAGGGGUCGAUCCAAGCCUCUUUGCAGGGACCCUGCUUCCCUGACUCGGACGCUCAUGGCUCGAUGUUGACUGCGUUGGCGCCGUUGGUGGCAAAAGAUGGGGACCAAGGUGUCGAGGGCAGCAUGGACACUGAGUGUAGUGUGGCCAUUUCUUCCGCGGGCGAAGUGAGGGAUGUUGAUGAGGGAUGCGCCUUGGCGACUGAGAGCGAGGGCACUUUGCAUGACUUCGCCGAGCUGCUCACAGGUCUGACUCCAAUCAUCCAGGGUUUGUGUCGCCUGGUCAAUGCGAAGAAGAUCAAGAAGGUCAACCAGCAGAUCAGGCCCCCCUUGGGGGACAACCCUACAAGAUGUUAG